rnacentral:lncRNA from 1 species
UCUAAGAAGCUGCCGGAUAACUCCUCCUCCAACCAUUUGAUGAACACUUUUGUACCAAUCAACCUACCUGAAACAAACACAGACGAUUCUCAACCAUUUGAUGCCAUUACACAUACACGAAUAUCAAAAAACAAACAAAAAAAGGUAAGCCCUAGAAAAAAAUCGAUUCUCUAUAAAGAUCCCAAGAUCCAGUAAACAAAAAUUGAAAUAUAGAAAUGGCAGAUUCGGAUAUGAGAUAUGCUGAAUCGAGAAAAAAAAAUGAGAACUCACAGGAAAUGAAGCAACGAGAUCGGUGAUUGACGAACACAAGGAGGAAGAAGAAGAAGUAAACAGAUACCACAGACACAGAGAAAAUGGAAAUGUAUGUCUCCAGAUGACGCGACUGUGACAUACAAACACAACACCUUUCAGAUUUUUUUAAGUGCCAUGGGCCUAACAUCAUCUAUUAAAG